rnacentral:rRNA from 1 species
AGUCGAGGGGUAACAGGGAGUGCUUGCACUCUGCUGACGACCGGCGCACGGGUGCGUAACGCGUAUGCAACCUACCUUUUACAGGGGGAUAGUCAAGAGAAAUUUUGAAUAAUACCCCAUACGAUCCUGAUAUCACCUGAUAUUUGGAAGAAAACUUCGGUGGUAAAAGAUGGGCAUGCGUCCUAUUAGUUAGUUGGUGAGGUAACGGCUCACCAAGACAGCGAUAGGUAGGGGUCCUGAGAGGGAGAUCCCCCACACUGGUACUGAGACACGGACCAGACUCCUACGGGAGGCAGCAGUGAGGAAUAUUGGACAAUGGAGGCAACUCUGAUCCAGCCAUGCCGCGUGCAGGAAGACUGCCCUAUGGGUUGUAAACUGCUUUUAUACAGGAAGAAACCUACUUACGUGUAAGUAGCUGACGGUACUGUACGAAUAAGGAUCGGCUAACUCCGUGCCAGCAGCCGCGGUAAUACGGAGGAUCCAAGCGUUAUCCGGAAUUAUUGGGUUUAAAGGGUCCGUAGGUGGUUUGCUAAGUCAGAGGUGAAAUCCUACCGCUUAACGGUAGCACUGCCUUUGAUACUGGCAAGCUUGAGUUAUUGUGAAGUAGUUAGAAUGUGUAGUGUAGCGGUGAAAUGCAUAGAUAUUACACAGAAUACCGAUUGCGAAGGCAGAUUACUAACAAUAUACUGACACUGAGGGACGAAAGCGUGGGUAGCGAACAGGAUUAGAUACCCUGGUAGUCCACGCCGUAAACGAUGGUCACUAGCUGUUUGACUAACAUUGGUUAGUUGAGUGGCUAAGCGAAAGUGAUAAGUGACCCACCUGGGGAGUACGCUCGCAAGAGUGA